rnacentral:rRNA from 1 species
UACGGAGGGUCCAAGCGUUAUCCGGAAUCAUUGGGUUUAAAGGGUCCGUAGGCGGUUUUGUAAGUCAGUGGUGAAAGCCCAUCGCUCAACGGUGGAACGGCCAUUGAUACUGCAAGACUUGAAUUAUUGGGAAGCAACUAGAAUAUGUAGUGUAGCGGUGAAAUGCUUAGAGAUUACAUGGAAUACCAAUUGCGAAGGCAGGUUGCUACCAAUACAUUGACGCUGAUGGACGAAAGCGUGGGGAGCAAACAGG